rnacentral:rRNA from 1 species
GACGAAGGGGGCUAGCGUUGUUCGGAAUUACUGGGCGUAAAGCGCGUGUAGGCGGUUAUCCAAGUCGGGUGUGAAAGCCUUGAGCUCAACUCAAGAAAUGCACUCGGUACUGGGUGACUAGAGGACCGGAGAGGAUAGUGGAAUUCCCAGUGUAGUGGUGAAAUACGUAGAGAUUGGGAAGAACACCAGUGGCGAAGGCGGCUACCUGGCCGUGUUCUUGACGCUGAGGCGCGAAAGCUAGGGGAGCAAACGGG